rnacentral:lncRNA from 1 species
CAACAACCACUAGACCUGUGAGAAAGCCCUGCAGAGAUUAAAGGAGCUGAUUCUAUAUGCACAUAUUGGAGGAAGAAGAACAGAUUUAUCUAUUCUGACUUGCACCUGCUGACUAGUGAGACAAAGGGCCAAGAAGCAGCCACACAAACCCCACAGGUAACUCCAGCGCCAGUCUCCAGCAGAGGAGGAGAGACUGCAGAGAGUGAUACUUCUAAUUACUUCCAGAAUGUUGAAAGUCAAGUAUGUGUAAUCAGAAGCAAGAUGAAAUGGUAUUGAAUGAAAAAUUCUGAUGCAGUCAGGAAAUGUGUAAGUUUUGGAUUGAGCUCUCUUUGCAGUUGAGAUCCGACUCAAACCCUCACAGCCUAUGUGGUCUUGGACAUACUAUUUAACCUCUGUAAAGCUUGUUUUCCUU